UACGUAGGGGGCAAGCGUUGUCCGGAAUUAUUGGGCGUAAAGAGCUCGUAGGCGGUCUGUCGCGUCGGCUGUGAAAACCCGGAGCUCAACUCCGGGCCUGCAGUCGAUACGGGCAAACUGGAGUGUUGCAGGGGAGACUGGAAUUCCUGGUGUAGCGGUGAAAUGCGCAGAUAUCAGGAGGAACACCGGUGGCGAAGGCGGUUCUCUGGGACGGUACUGACGCUGAGACGCGAAAGCGUGGGGAGCGAACAGG
rnacentral:rRNA from 1 species